CAAGUGUUUGGUGUUGGGAGUGGGGUGGUGGCUGAGAAGAGUUGUCCCUUUAAACACUGGGUCCGGAGAGGGUAAUCUGCCAGGGAUUAUCUGAUGGGGAGAGGAUUGGCAUCAAGAGGAGUCUCCUCCCUCUCCUGGGCCCUACGGCAUGCCAUCCUGUGUGUAUGGAAACCAAGUUCACUUUCUCCUUGGCAGUGCUCGGGGUGUGGGGAGGAGAGCAGUGCUUGCGCUAUGGGGCUGGGUCUCCUCUUCCUCACCGUGCUGGCCAUGCUGGUCUCCUGUGAGCACCCAGAAGGAGACCUGGAUACCUACUGGUCUGGCACUGCACCCAUCUGCAUGGGGGGCUGCAAGGGGAAGCAUAAGGAGCUGAAGAGGAGCCAGUGUGGGAAUGGCAGCUGCUGCUGGCUGGGCUACAAGUCCUUCUGCCGAGGUACGGCC
ensembl:lncRNA